rnacentral:rRNA from 1 species
UGGCCCGGGUUCUGACGCUGAGGCGCGAAAGCCGUGGGGAGCAAACCAGGAUUAGAUACCCCUGGUAGUCCCACGCCCUAAACCGAUGUGUGCUAGACGUCGGGGGGACUUGUCCCCUCCGGUGUUCGCCGCUAACCGCAUUAAGCACACCCGCCUGGGGAGUACGGCCGCAAGGUUAAAACUCCAAAGGAAUUGACGGGGGCCCGGCACAAGCGGUGGAGCCAUGUGGUUUAAUUCGACGCAACGCGCAGAACCUUACCAGCCCUUGACAUGGUGGCCGCGGCCCGGCGCGAGCCGGGCGUCCCCGCAAGGGGGCCAUCACAGGUGCUGCAUGGCUGUCGUCAGCUCGUGUCGUGAGAUGUUGGGUUAAGUCCCGCAACGAGCGCAACCCUUGCCUCUAGUUGCCAUCGGGUUGGGCCGGGCACUCUAGAGGGACUGCCGGUGACAAGCCGGAGGAAGGUGGGGAUGACGUCAAGUCCUCAUGGCCCUUACGGGCUGG